rnacentral:lncRNA from 1 species
UCCAACAUAUGCACAUUGACAGAUUGACAAUAACGAUCCAUCCAAUAUGCAACGACAUAACAUAAGUUGCAUGAGAUUGAACAUGUUCAAAACUCACGCAAAUUCUGACCAGAGCUGGUUCCCACUUCUCUUUUAACUUCUCACUGAUUCAGAGCUUAUGAUGCCACCGGAACCUGAAUGUGCAGUCAAUCCAAUCAUAGAACCUCGUUGCUGUCCAAAAUGUCUC